rnacentral:rRNA from 1 species
UACAGAGGCCACGAGCGUUAGGCGGAAUCACUGGGCUUAAAGCGUGUGUAGGUGGAUCGGUAAGUACCUUGUAAAAUCCCACAGCUCAACUGUGGAACUGCUUGGUAUACUGCCAGUCUUGAGGCACUCAGGGGCGAGCGGAACAAGUGGUGGAGCGGUGAAAUGCGUAGAUAUCACUUGGAACGCCAAUGGUGAAGACAGCUCGCUGGGGGGUGUACUGACACUGAGACACGAAAGCCAGGGGAGCGAACGGG